rnacentral:rRNA from 1 species
UACGGAGGGGGCUAGCGUUGUUCGGAAUUACUGGGCGUAAAGCGCGCGUAGGCGGAUCUGCAAGUCGGGGGGUGAAAUCCCGAGGCUCAACCUCGGAACUGCCUUCGAUACUGCGGGUCUCGAGUCCGGGAGAGGUGAGUGGAAUUCCUAGUGUAGAGGUGAAAUUCGUAGAUAUUAGGAAGAACACCAGUGGCGAAGGCGGCUCACUGGCCCCGGUACUG